rnacentral:rRNA from 1 species
AAUAGAUACCCGGGUAGUCCACGCCCUAAACUAUGUCAACUGGUUGUUGGGGGAGUGAAAUCCCUUAGUAACGAAGCUAACGCGUGAAGUUGACCGCCUGGGGAGUACGGUCGCAAGAUUAAAACUCAAAGGAAUUGACGGGGACCCGCACAAGCGGUGGAUGAUGUGGAUUAAUUCGAUGCAACGCGAAAAACCUUACCUACCCUUGACAUGUCCAGAAUCCUGCAGAGAUGCGGGAGUGCCCGAAAGGGAAUUGGAACACAGGUGCUGCAUGGCUGUCGUCAGCUCGUGUCGUGAGAUGUUGGGUUAAGUCCCGCAACGAGCGCAACCCUUAUCAUUAGUUGCUACGCAAGGGCACUCUAAUGAGACUGCCGGUGACAAACCGGAGGAAGGUGGGGAUGACGUCAAGUCCUCAUGGCCCUUAUGGGUAGGGCUUCACACGUCAUACAAUGGUCGGUACAGAGGGUUGCCAAGCCGCGAGGUGGAGCCAAUCCCAGAAAGCCGAUCGUAGUCCGGAUUGUUCUCUGCAA